rnacentral:rRNA from 1 species
UAGGGAAUUUUCCACAAUGGGCGAGAGCCUGAUGGAGCAACGCCGCGUGAUGGAUGAAGGCUUUCGGGUCGUAAACAUCUUUUCUCUGUGACGAAUAUGACGGUAGCAGAGGAAUAAGGAUCGGCUAACUACGUGCCAGCAGCCGCGGUCAUACGUAGGAUCCAAGCGUUAUCCGGAUUUACUGGGCGUAAAGAGUUGCGUAGGUGGUAUGGUAAGCGAAUAGUGAAAUGACGAGGCUCAACCUUGUGUCCAUUAUUUGAACUGCCAAACUUGAGAGUGAGAGAGGUAGAUGGAAUUGCUAGUGUAGGAGUGAAAUCCGUAGAUAUUAGCAGGAACACCGAUGGCGUAGGCAGUCUACUGGCUCAUUUCUGACACUAAGGCACGAAAGCGUGGGGAGCAAACGGG